rnacentral:rRNA from 1 species
CCUACGGGUGGCAGCAGUGAGGAAUAUUGGUCAAUGGACGAGAGUCUGAACCAGCCAAGUAGCGUGAAGGAUGAAUGCACUAGGGGUCGUAAACCUCUUUUAUAAAGGAACAAAACGAGGCACGUGUGCCUUUUUGCAUGUACUUGAUGAAUAAGGAUCGGCUAACUCCGUGCCAGCAGCCGCGGUAAUACGGAGGAUCCGAGCGUUAUCCGGAUUUAUUGGGUUUAAAGGGAGCGUAGGUGGGUUGUUAAGUCAGUUGUGAAAGUUUGCGGCUCAACCGUAAAAGUGCAAUUGAUACUGGCAGUCUUGAGUACAGGUGAGGUAGGCGGAAUUCGUGGUGUAGCGGUGAAAUGCUUAGAUAUCACGAAGAACCCCGAUUGCGAAGGCAGCUUGCUAAAC